UACGGAGGGUGCGAGCGUUGUCCGGAAUCACUGGGCGUAAAGGGCGCGUAGGUGGCGCGGGAAGUCAACGGUGAAAGUUCGGGGCUCAACCCUGAAUCGGCCGUCGAUACUCCCGGGCUCGAGCACUGUAGAGGCAGAUGGAAUUCCGGGUGUAGCGGUGGAAUGCGUAGAGAUCGGAAAGAACACCAACGGCGAAAGCACUCUGCUGGGCCGACACUGACACUGAGAGACGAAAGCUAGGGGAGCGAAUGGG
rnacentral:rRNA from 1 species